UACGUAGGGGGCUAGCGUUGUCCGGAAUAACUGGGCGUAAAGGGUUCGCAGGCGGAGAUGCAAGUCAGAUGUAAAAGGCAGUAGCUUAACUACUGUAAGCCUUUGAAACUGCAUAUCUUGAGAUGGGUAGAGGUAAGUGGAAUUUCUAGUGUAGCGGUGAAAUGCGUAGAUAUUAAAAAGAAUACCGGUGGCGAAGGCGGCUUUCUGGGC
rnacentral:rRNA from 1 species